AAUGAACGCUGGCGGCAUGCCUAACACAUGCAAGUCGAACGGAAAAUACUUCGGUAUUUUUAGUGGCAAACGAGUGAGUAACAUGUAGGAAUCUACCAUUCGGAGGGGGAUAACUGCGAGAAAUUGCAGCUAAUACCGCAUACUCUUGGCGACAAGGAAAUGAUUUAUCGCCGAAUGAUGAGCCUGCACCAGAUUAGGUAGUUGGUGGGGUAAUGGCCCACCAAGCCCAAGAUCUGUAGCUGGUCUGAGAGGAUGAUCAGCCACGCUGGGACUGAGAACGGCCCAGACUCCUACGGGAGGCAGCAGUGGGGAAUAUUGGACAAUGGGGGCAACCCUGAUCCAGCAAUGCCGCGUGAAUGAAGAAGGCCUUAGGGUUGUAAAGUUCUUUCGCCUGGGAAGAUAAUGACUGUACCAGGAGAAGAAGUCCGGCUAACUCUGUGCCAGCAGCCGCGGUAAU
rnacentral:rRNA from 1 species